AUUGAACGCUGGCGGCAUGCCUUACACAUGCAAGUCGAACGGCAGCACGGGAGCAAUCCUGGUGGCGAGUGGCGAACGGGUGAGUAAUACAUCGGAACGCGCCCAAUCGUGGGGGAUAACGCAGCGAAAGCUGUGCUAAUACCGCAUACGAUCUACGGAUGAAAGCAGGGGAUCGCAAGACUUUGCGCGAAUGGAGCGGCCGAUGGCAGAUUAGGUAGUUGGUGAGGUAAAGGCUCACCAAGCCGUCGAUCUGUAGCUGGUCCGAGAGGACGACCAGCCACACUGGGACUGAGACACGGCCCAGACUCCUACGGGAGGCAGCAGUGGGGGAUAUUGCACAAUGGGCGCAAGCCUGAUGCAGCGACGCCGCGUGGGGGAUGGAGGCUUUCGGGUUGUAAACCCCUUUCGGCGCGGGACAAGGCUCCGUUUGGCGGGGUUGAGGGUACGCGUCAAAGAAGCGCCGGCUAACUACGUGCCAGCAGCCGCGGUAAUACGUAGGGCGCGAGCGUUGUCCGGAAUUAUUGGGCGUAAAGGGCUCGUAGGCGGCUUGUCGCGUCUGCUGUGAAAACGCGGGGCUCAACUCCGCGCGUGCAGUGGGUACGGGCAGGCUGGAGUGCGGCAGGGGUGGCUGGAAUUCCUGGUGUAGCGGUGGAAUGCGCAGAUAUCAGGAAGACACCGAUGGCGAACGCAGGCCACUGGCCGUCACUGACGCUGAGGAGCGAAGCGUGGGAGCGAACAG
rnacentral:rRNA from 1 species